UUCGCCCUUAGAGUUUGAUCCUGGCUCAGGGUGAACGCUGGCGGCGCGCCUUACGCAUGCAAGUCGUGCGGGGCGCGGGCUUCGGCCUGCGCUCAGCGGCAGACGGCUGAGUAACACGUAGGUAACCUGCCCGGAAGUGGGGGAUAACUCGGGGAAACCCGGGCUAAUACCGCAUGUGGUCCCAGGGGGAAGUUCCCUGGGACUAAAGCCCGCAAGGGCGCUUCCGGAGGGGCCCGCGGCCUAUCAGGUAGUUGGUGGGGUAACGGCCCACCAAGCCGACGACGGGUAGCCGGUGUGAGAGCACGACCGGCCAGAGGGGGACUGGGACACGGCCCCCACUCCUACGGGAGGCAGCAGCGAGGAAUCUUGGGCAAUGGGGGAAACCCUGACCCAGCGACGCCGCGUGGGGGAAGAAGGCCUUCGGGUCGUAAACCCCUUUUGCCGGGGAAGAAGCCCUGACGGUACCCGGCG
rnacentral:rRNA from 1 species